rnacentral:lncRNA from 1 species
AUGUUGUCCCUGGAAGGUGGUACAGAGGUGACAUUUUGUUAUUGUCCUGCACCCAUGAGUCGCAUGCAGAUACACUCUGCCCUGGAAGUGAAUCCACUCCUACGCUGGACAUCCCCAGGCUCAUUCUUCCAAUCAUCAGCCACGAGAGACACUGUGUCAAGAGAGACUUUAGGAUUUGCUUUAUCUAUCCAUUCCCUUAGCUCUUCUGUAGGAAUAUAUAUAUAUAUAUAUAUACACACUGACUCCCUUAUCAAUAAAGCUCAUUUUAAAAUACCUCUUUUUAUUUAUUUCUGUGGCUGCCCCCUGAGACCAGGGACGUUGUCUGGCCACAGUUUGAUCUCCCAAUGCAGCUCUUACCACAGCCACAGCAGGGACAAGGAGAGACUCUUAAACCAACCAGCCAUGAGGGAACUCCCUGAGAGCUUGCCUGAUGAGAACAAUCCACCCUGCUUAGUACAUCAGACCUGGUUUGGGUCAGGUCUCCAUUCGCUGGCGACUAACUGAAAAGUGAGGCUCAUUUCGAAAGGCAAGAAUGAAAAUUCCCUAAGCCUCUUUUGCGAUAAUAGCACAAGGAUUAGCCAAACUGUCCAAACUUAUGCCACUGAGUCCCCCAUUUAUUUAUCAGCACCACCCUCUUUCUCCACCUGCAUAAAUGCCCUCUGGUCAGGAACUUGAAAAUGGCCAGAUCACGAUCAAAAUCUGAUGCUGUGUGUGUCUUGGUCUCCGGCUCUGGAAGAAUACAAGGCACACCAAAGCCCAGUGAAUCCUUCAAUUAUUUUAAAAACACACUGCCACCCAAUGAGGCUGCCAAUCCACCUCCAAAUACUGAAGGGACACCUGUGCCCUCUGCCUGAACUAAGGCGUCUUGGAGGAGAGUCCCUGGGGCCCAGGACACACCUAAAAAUCCUCUGGGUGCUUGCUGCAUGUUUCACUCAAGACACCAUCGGCCCCAACUCUGAGCCUGCACGGUUUUGAGCCUUGGAGCUCUAACCUGUUAGAGGCUCAGAGCUGCACCUGGGGCCAGAAGGGACUCUGGCGCCCUCGUGUGGACAUCUGCUCUAACAGCCACUUAUCUUUCACUCUUCUCACUGGCUCAGCAGGCCCUCAUGCUGCAUUGGCCAUAGGCAAUAUGCAGGUUGGGUCUCCUCCCCUGGCUCGCAUGAGAUAUCAAGAGGUGCCCUUCUGAGUGGGCUAUUUCUCUCUGGAAGACUUCCAGAGCCCUGAGGUCAACCUAUGCCAUGCCUAGCUGUUUAAACACUCAGUUCCUGAGCCAUCAUGUCAUAUGCCAGACUUCUUCCUUUUUAUAUAUAUCUCUGCACUGAUCUCUUUAUGAAGAUGGGUGUAUAGGUAUGUAACGAUUGAUUUUUUUUAAUUUUCCACCUGUAAUUCUGUCAUUUUUACAAUAAAUUCAGGCCUCAUUUCUUUUUUUCUUUCUCU